rnacentral:rRNA from 1 species
UACGGAGGAUGCGAGCGUUAUCCGGAUUUAUUGGGUUUAAAGGGUGCGUAGGCGGCUUUUUAAGUCAGCGGUGAAAUUUUGCAGCUUAACUGUAACAGUGCCGUUGAUACUGGGGAGCUAGGAUUUGGUUGCUGUGGGUGGAAUGUGUGGUGUAGCGGUGAAAUGCUCAGAGAUCACACAGAAUAUCGAUUGCGAAGGCAGCUCACAAAGCCAAGAUUGACGCUGAGGCACGAAAGUGUGGGGAUCAAACAGGA